rnacentral:rRNA from 1 species
CACGUAGGGUGCGAGCGUUGUCCGGAAUUAUUGGGCGUAAAGAGCUCGUAGGCGGUGUGUCGCGUCGGCCGUGAAAACCUGCAGCUUAACUGUGGGCUUGCGGUCGAUACGGGCAUCACUGGAGUUCGGCAGGGGAGACUGGAACUCCUGGUGUAGCGGUGAAAUGCGCAGAUAUCAGGAGGAACACCGGUGGCGAAGGCGGGUCUCUGGGCCGAUGACUGACGCUGAGACGCGAAAGCGUGGGGAGCGAACAGG